UUCUUCUGAAUUGUGAGGAGGUUCAACCUUUUGGAAAGUAUUUUGAUGAUUAUAUCCGGCAAUCUUGUCCAAAUAUAAGCCAAAUAGAUUUGGAAAGACGACGCGAAAUGGAGUUUCCGGCUUGGUUUAGGUCAUAUCUAUGGCCAAGAAAAAAGGGAAACCAAGAGGUAAUGGAAAAGCAGCUU